AGGAGAAAAACAGCGCCAAAAGUAAGGAGGGGAAAGAAGGAGAUAAUCGUUCUUUGUCCUCCGUACUUUUGGCGCUGUUUUUCUCUUCA
rnacentral:pre_miRNA from 1 species